GACGAACGCUGGCGGCGUGCUUAACACAUGCAAGUCGAACGGAAAGGCCCUGCUUUUGUGGGGUGCUCGAGUGGCGAACGGGUGAGUAACACGUGAGUAACCUGCCCUUGACUUUGGGAUAACUUCAGGAAACUGGGGCUAAUACCGGAUAGGAGCUCCUGCUGCAUGGUGGGGGUUGGAAAGUUUCGGCGGUUGGGGAUGGACUCGCGGCUUAUCAGCUUGUUGGUGGGGUAGUGGCUUACCAAGGCUUUGACGGGUAGCCGGCCUGAGAGGGUGACCGGCCACAUGGGGACUGAGAUACGGCCCAGACUCCUACGGGAGGCAGCAGUGGGGAAUAUUGCACAAUGGGCGGAAGCCUGAUGCAGCAACGCCGCGUGCGGGAUGACGGCCUUCGGGUUGUAACCCGCUUUCGCCUGUGACGAAGCGUGAGUGACGGUAAUGGGUAAAGAAGCACCGGCUAACUACGUG
rnacentral:rRNA from 1 species